GACAGAGGGUGCAAACGUUGUUCGGAAUUACUGGGCGUAAAGCGCGUGUAGGCGGCUAUGCAAGUCGGAUGUGAAAGCCCUCGGCUCAACCGGGGAAGUGCACCCGAAACUGCAAAGCUAGAGUCUCGGAGAGGAUCGUGGAAUUCUCGGUGUAGAGGUGAAAUUCGUAGAUAUCUGGAGGAACACCGGUGGCGAAGGCGGCAUCCUGGACCAACACUGACGCUGAGUGAGCGAAAGCCAGGGGAGCAAACGGG
rnacentral:rRNA from 1 species